AAAAGUUUGAUUUAUGGUUCAAAGACGAACGCUGGGCGGGCGUGCGUAAUACAUGCAAAUCGAACGCUUCUUUUUUCCACCGGAGCUUGCUCCACCGGAAAAAGAAGAGUGGCGAACGGGUGAGUAACACGUGGGUAACCUGCCCAUCAGAAGGGGAUAACACUUGGAAACAGGUGCUAAUACCGUAUAACAAUCAAACCCGCAUGGUUUAGAUUUGAAAGGCGCUUUCGGGUGUCGCUGAUGGAUGGACCCGCGGUGCAUUAGCUAGUUGGUGAGGUAACGGCUCACCAAGGCCACGAUGCAUAGCCGACCUGAGAGGGUGAUCGGCCACAUUGGGACUGAGACACGGCCCAAACUCCUACGGGAGGCAGCAGUAGGGAAUCUUCGGCAAUGGACGAAAGUCUGACCGAGCAACGCCGCGUGAGUGAAGAAGGUUUUCGGAUCGUAAAACUCUGUUGUUAGAGAAGAACAAGGAUGAGAGUAACUGUUCAUCCCUUGACGGUAUCUAACCAGAAAGCCACGGCUAACUACGUGCCAGCAGCCGCGGUAAUACGUAGGUGGCAAGCGUUGUCCGGAUUUAUUGGGCGUAAAGCGAGCGCAGGCGGUUUCUUAAGUCUGAUGUGAAAGCCCCCGGCUCAACCGGGGAGGGUCAUUGGAAACUGGGAGACUUGAGUGCAGAAGAGGAGAGUGGAAUUCCAUGUGUAGCGGUGAAAUGCGUAGAUAUAUGGAGGAACACCAGUGGCGAAGGCGGCUCUCUGGUCUGUAACUGACGCUGAGGCUCGAAAGCGUGGGGAGCAAACAGGAUUAGAUACCCUGGUAGUCCACGCCGUAAACGAUGAGUGCUAAGUGUUGGAGGGUUUCCGCCCUUCAGUGCUGCAGCUAACGCAUUAAGCACCCGCCGGGUACA
rnacentral:rRNA from 1 species